GCCCAGCGGCAGAUACAAUUAAAGAGUUUAUGUCCCCCUGUGUAAAUAAAAAAAUUCCUUAAAACAGUUGUGCUUUACGGCACCUUUUACGACAGUCGCGCUUUACGGCACCCUUCAUGACAGUUUUGCGACAGUCACGCUUUACGGCACCUUUUACGACGGUCGCGCUGUACGACGCCUUUUACGACACUUUACGACAGUCGCGCUUUACAGCAGUUUUACGACAGUGACGCUUUACGGCACCUUUUACGACGGUCGCGCUUUACGGCAGCUUUACGACAGCCGCGCUUUACGGCACCUUUUACGACACUUUACGACAGUCGCGCUUUACGGCACCUUUUACGACAGUUGCGCUCUACGGCCGUAUUUACGACAGUCGCGCUUUACGGCACCUUUUGCGACAGUCGCACUUUACGGCAGUUUCGCGACAGUCGCGCUUUACGGCGCCUUUUACGACGGUCUCGCUUUACGGCACCUUUUACGACAGUCGCGCUUUACGGCACCCUGUUUUAUGACGGUUGUGCUUGACGGCACUUCACUUUACUGCACUUUAUGACCAGGUCUGGCCGAUGAUUGUGGUGGUGUUUGAGCGUCCCCAGUAGGAGGGAAAAGAUGAGAACCUUGAUGCUUCUUUUCAGAAGGCUCAUUGAUUAUUUUAUGAUUUCUAUUAUAUUAAAAGAAAAUGAGAUAUUAUGACUGCACUAAAAAUGCAAGGAGACAUCAGAAAGCUUGAAAGGAAUGAAUAAUAAAAACCUGGGACUGCUCACAGCCCCGACACAGCUGGACCAUGAUUGGUCAUCGAGUAGAAACAAUGCACAGAAGACCAAUCCAAGGUGCCCCUGUUGCUAAACCAUCUCCAGCCCACACUCCACAGCCAGCAGAUCAUUAUUGAUUCCAUUUCUGUUGUAAGGCUUCUCAGGAGAAAAAUCCCAGCAAAAGGAUUUUCAUCCAACAUGUCAGUGCCAGGUGAUGGCACAGGCAGCAUCGGCUGGCCGAGGUCACCGUGUCAUCCCUGCCAGCCCAGGUGUCACAGCAAGGAGGAGAGAGUUCACCCUGUGCUCACCCUACUAUACAGAGCAAUACGACACAAAACACAUACUAACACAAGAUGAUAACCUUUUCCUAUUUUCAUUACAUGUUGAUUUAUUGUU